UUUUUGAAGGUCUGCCGAUUUGUACGUGGUGUUGUCUGCCUUGCAACACCAUUUAGGCGGGAAGCCUGUUGAUCCAUGUUCGUACCUUGGUUGUGCAAGCUGCGGCCAAUGACCAAGYGUGCUUUGGACAUGGUGAUGCGGGUAUCGAGACAAGGCAUGUCGGUUUAAUCGUUGCUUUCGCAUCGUUCGGUGCAUUCUGGGGGCUGUUUYGGCUUUUGGUUGCUUGCUUGGCCUUUGUGCUUGGCGKGUGGCUACUAGUUGGGCGGUCUUCGGGAAUGUCGAYCGUAAAGGUGCAUGAGUGGUGUUUGGUUUGUUACGGGUGGUUGGAUGUCUGCUUGCGCAGCAACUUCCUCGCGUGCAUACCUCUUCAGUUGUGYGGCAAGGCUUGUUUCGUCUUGAGCAUCUUUGUGGGUUUCCUGUGUUGCAUACCUAACCGAUGGCAUUGUGUGGUUCGAUAGACGUCCCUUUUCGUCAUGUGUCGCUCGUGCGACGUGUGAUGAACCUCGAAGCGGUCUYCGUGAUCCACCUUGUCGGUGCCSUUGCAUCGACGAUGUGGCCCAUGAAGCAUUGCUUGGUCUCUUGUGUACGGAACCUGAUUUGGGCAUGGGUCUUGCUUGAUCCUACAUUUGCCCUUGUUAAGCGUUCUCGCUUCUCUAAAA
rnacentral:misc_RNA from 1 species